CGGAUUGGAGUCUGCAACCCGACUCCAUGAAGCUGGAUUCGCUAGUAAUCGCGCAUCAGCCACGGCGCGGUGAAUACGUUCCCGGGCCUUGUACACACCGUCCGUCAAGCCAUGGAAGCCGGGAGUGCCUGAAGUGCGUGAGCGCAAGCAGCGCCCUAAGGUAAAACCGGUGACUGGGGCUAAGUCGUAACAAGGUAUC
rnacentral:rRNA from 1 species